rnacentral:rRNA from 1 species
GAAGGUAGCAAUAAUCAUUAGUCUUUUAAUUGAAGACUGGAAUGAAAGGUCGGACAAAAAGUAAUCUGUCUCUAUUUUAAAAAUUGAAUUUAACUUUUAAGUGAAAAGGCUUAAAUACUCUUAAAGGACGACAAGACCCUAUAAAACUUUAUAAACUAGAAAUAAAUUCGCAAUUUAUAUCUUUAACGGAAAUUAUUACUAUUUUUAUUUCGUUGGGGCGACGAAAGUAUAACUCCACAACUGCUUUUCUUUUAAACAAUUAUAUUUGUCUCAAUGACCCUUUAUUAAGAUCUAAAGAAAAAGUUACUUUAGGGAUAACAGCGUAAUUUUUUUUAAGAGUCCUUAUCGACAAAAAAGCUUGCGACCUCGAUGUUGAAUUAAAAUCCCACUAUAGUGCAGCAAUUAUAGAGGGAGGUCUGUUCGAC